CGCUACUAAGUUUUAAAAUGACUCUUAUUAAUCUUUCUGGGUCACAAAAUAAACUUUUAACAUAUUUUCAGGCGAGAAUGUGGGUGUGUAAACUUCAAAUAUCUUCUCGGUUUAUCAAGAUAUCACAUAUUUGCAUAAGUGCUUCGAUGUUUUCGGAGACGUCUGUUACCCACCAGCUCGAAAGCUAGCCGGCCCAGAAUUCAUUGCGGAAUUUUUCAAGUAACGAUGGCGGCACAAGAAGAUAAACCAGGAGAUGAAUACACUUAUAAAUGUAAGUAUAUGAAAAUCUGGUGGUACAAAAGUUAAAUUUUUAUAGCGGUUAUGUUGUUAGGUUUGUGAAUUUGCAUAGACUUGUAUUAUUUAUUUAAACAAUCUUCGUAAAAAGUGCCCGUAAACUAGCUUGUAUGGUGGGUCCCGCGGUUUUUCAUUGCCGCUUACAUACAGCUAAAUUUCAUUUUUCCCAAUUAACUUUUUUGUGAUAUGUUUAUAGGGACCAAAGAGCAAACAGCAGACUUCAUAAAAAUUAGAGGAGAAAACGAUCACCUCUUCACCGGGGUAAAAAAUUCAGCCACUGUGGGAUGGAGGAACAAGAAUAAAUCAAUUUACACAUCAUAUUCAUCUGAGUACGGUUUCAAUAACCCUCAUUCUCUACAGAACCUGUGAUGUCCAGAAGGACUAUUCUCGAGAAGAUGGGCCUGCAAGGGAAAGUCACCCCCUUGCAGGCCAAAAAGAAGUGGGACAACUUAAAGAAAAGAUACAAAGAUUGCAAGUAUCCAGGGUCAGGAGAGGGAGUCAGUGGGAAGCCCAAUGCUGUUACUUGGCCCUGGUUUGGCCUCAUGGAUGAGGUGAUAGGACAGAGGCCUUCCAUUAGGCCCCCUGUCCUAAUUUCCUCUCUCCCUGAGGACACUCCAGGGCCAAGUACAGCAGUGGGUGACCAAAGCGAGAGG
ensembl:lncRNA